rnacentral:rRNA from 1 species
UACAGAGGGUGCGAGCGUUAAUCGGAAUUACUGGGCGUAAAGCGUGCGUAGACGGUUUUGUAAGUCGGAUGUGAAAUCCCCGGGCUCAACCUGGGAAUUGCAUUCGAGACUGCAAGGCUUGGGUGCGGAAGAGGGAAGCGGAAUUUCCGGUGUAGCGGUGAAAUGCGUAGAUAUUGGAAGGAACAUCAGUGGCGAAGGCGACUACCUGGAUAGAUACUGACACUGAGACACGAAAGCGUGGGUAGCAAACAGG